GUCAGUCCUCUCAGUGCUGUAGACGUUCCUCUCAUCCAUCCCUCACCUGACAAGUAGGACAGGGCCGUGUAGCAGGGAGGGGACAUUAUAAUGAGUAUCAUGAAGACGAUUUCACCCUUUGAAACGCAAAGUCUGCAAUCUGCGGCAAACCCUCCGGAUUUACACCUUGAAUUCCACAAAACAGAAGAUAUUGCUGCUUCGGAAUUCCCAGCAGAUCGAUCCCGUGUGGUCCUACCUUAAAGGGAAUGUGUGAUCAGAAAAUGAUCUAUUAUUUUUACAAUAAACUAUUUUAAAGAA